AGCGAACGCUGGCGGCAGGCUUAACACAUGCCAGUCGAGCGGGCAUCUUCGGAUGUCAGCGGCAGACGGGUGAGUAACACGUGGGAACGUACCCUUCGGUUCGGAACAACUCUGGGAAACUGGAGCUAAUACCGGAUACGCCCUUAUGGGGAAAGGUUUACUGCCGAAGGAUCGGCCCGCGUCUGAUUAGCUAGUUGGUGGGGUAACGGCCUACCAAGGCGACGAUCAGUAGCUGGUCUGAGAGGAUGAUCAGCCACACUGGGACUGAGACACGGCCCAGACUCCUACGGGAGGCAGCAGUGGGGAAUAUUGGAAAAUGGGCGCAAGCCUGAUCCAGCCAUGCCGCGUGAGUGAUGAAGGCCUUAGGGUUGUAAAGCUCUUUUGUCCGGGACGAUAAUGACGGUACCGGAAGAAUAAGCCCCGGCUAACUUCGUG
rnacentral:rRNA from 1 species